ensembl:lncRNA
CCUCGGAGCUCUGAAGUAUAAAAGUUAAAAGUUAAAGUUUAAAUAAUGAGAAGUUUACAAUUAUUAUUAUAUUGGCCACAGGCCUGGGUAUAGGGGAAGCCUGAAACAUCGGGGAACAAUUGUAAUUCUUAGUUCUUGGUGGGAUGUAGUUAUUCUUUGAAUUUGAUUUGGCAAUGAUUAUAAAAUGUCUUUUUUCUACCUGAUUUUGGAUUAUUAAUAAAGGACUAGGGCAAGAAAAAGUCUACAGAACAUGUGAAGAGUAAAUGAGAGAGAGCAUGAGGGAGUGAAUGAGAGAGUACAUGACAGAGCUAAUGUAAGAAGAAAUGUGAGAGCGAAUGAGAGAGCAUGAGAAGAGCAUGUGAAGAGUGAGUGGAGAGAGAAUGUGAUAGUGAAUGAGGGAGCGAAUGAGAGAGCGAGUCUGAGAACAAAUGUGAGAGCGAGUGAGAGAGCAUGAGGAGAGCAUGUGAGAAUGAGUGAGGAGAGAACGUGAGGUGUGUGUGAAGACUGUGUGUGUGCGUGACAGGAGAGUGCAUGUGGUGUGUGUGAGAUAUGUAUGAGGUGUGUAUGAAGACUGUGUGUGUGCGUGACAGGAGAGUGCAUGUGGUGUGUGUGAGAUAUGUAUGAGGUGUGUAUGAAGACUGUGUGUGAGAGUGACAGGAGAGUGCAUGUGGUGUGUGUGAGAUAUAUAUGAGGUGUGUAUGAAGAGUGUGUGUGAGAGUGACAGGAGAGUGCAUGUGCUGUGUGUGAGAUAUGUAUGAGGUGUGUAUGAAGACUGUGUGUGUGCGUGACAGGAGAGUGCAUGUGGUGUGUGUGAGAUAUGUAUGAGGUGUGUAUGAAGACUGUGUGUGAGAGUGAAAGGAGAGUGCAUGUGGCGUGUGUGAGAUAUGUAUGAGGUGUGUAUGAAGAGUGUGUGUGUGAGUGAAAGGAGAGUGCAUGUGGCGUGUGUGAGAUAUGUAUGAGGUGUGUAUGAAGAUUGUGUGUGUGUGCGUGACAGGAGAGUGCAUGUGGCGUGUGUGAGAUAUGUGUGAGGUGUGUAUGAAGAUUGUGUGUGUGAGAAUGAAAGGGUAAUGAACAGACGUGUGCAUGAG